UGCCAGCAGCCGCGGUAAUACGGAGGGUGCACGCGUUAAUCGGAAUUACUGGGCGUAAAGCGCGCGUAGGUGGUCUGUUAAGUCAGAUGUGAAAUCCCCGAGCUCAACUUGGGAACUGCGUUUGAAACCGUAAGACUAGAGUGUGUCAGAGGGGGGUAGAAUUCCACGUGUAGCAGUGAAAUGCGUAGAUAUGUGGAGGAAUACCAAUGGCGAAGGCAGCCCCCUGGGAUAACACUGACGCUCAUGAACGAAAGCGUGGGGAGCAAACAGGAUUAGAUA
rnacentral:rRNA from 1 species